rnacentral:rRNA from 1 species
AUGGCGGAUGCACCUCUCUACAAGCAGCGCCGCAAGUACACCAGGGCGCUCCAUGACGUCCACCUCCACGGCAAUCACAAGCUCCACGUCCUUUGCACAAGCAAGGGCAAAGACGUGGACAAGAUGUUGUCCAUGUUCAGGAGGAAGCUCGGCGGAAUGCCCGUCAAACUAGUCGGUGUUGAUGUCGAGUACACACACUAUGAGAAGCCACAGCAUGCAGUGGUGCUACAGCUAUGCAUACAAAAAGAAUGCCUUGUCUACCACAUAUCUGCAGCUAAAGACAGGCAAAUGGAACUAGACAAAUUCCUGAUGAAUGAUGAGUACCCCUUCGUCGGAUUCGCUAUUGAAGGAGACAAAAGCAAGCUGAAGGUAUCUAGUUUGGAGAUCAACUCCGACAACUACAUUGAUAUUCAGGUGGAAUGGAGAGACCCAUACAAUAAAAAGAAGUUUGACUCUUUGGCUGAUGUUGCUGGCAGGAUGAUAGACAUUCACUACCAUGACAUGAAGAAAAAAAUU